UGGGGAAUUUUGCACAAUGGGGGAAACCCUGAUGCAGCGACGCCGCGUGAUUUAGAAGGCCUUCGGGUUGUAAAAAUCUUUUGUAUAGGAAGAAAAUGACAGUACUAUACGAAUAAGGACCGGCUAAUUACGUGCCAGCAGCCGCGGUAAUACGUAAGGUCCGAGCGUUGUCCGGAAUCAUUGGGCGUAAAGGGUACGUAGGCGGGUAAGCAAGUUAGAAGUGAAAUCCUAUAGCUCAACUAUAGUAAGCUUUUAAAACUGCUCAUCUUGAGGUAUGGAAGGGAAAGUGGAAUUCCUAGUGUAGCGGUGAAAUGCGCAGAUAUUAGGAGGAAUACCGGUGGCGAAGGCGACUUUCUGGCCAUAACCUGACGCUGAGGCUCGAAAGCGUGGGGAGCGAACAGG
rnacentral:rRNA from 1 species